rnacentral:rRNA from 1 species
AUUGAACGCUGGCGGCAGGCUUAACACAUGCAAGUCGAGCGGAGAUGAGGUGCUUGCACCUUAUCUUAGCGGCGGACGGGUGAGUAAUGCUUAGGAAUCUGCCUAUUAGUGGGGGACAACAUUCCGAAAGGAAUGCUAAUACCGCAUACGCCCUACGGGGGAAAGCAGGGGAUCUUCGGACCUUGCGCUAAGAGAUGAGCCUAAGUCGGAUUAGCUAGUUGGUGGGGUAAAGGCCUACCAAGGCGACGAUCUGUAGCGGGUCUGAGAGGAUGAUCCGCCACACUGGGACUGAGACACGGCCCAGACUCCUACGGGAGGCAGCAGUGGGGAAUAUUGGACAAUGGGCGGAAGCCUGAUCCAGCCAUGCCGCGUGUGUGAAGAAGGCCUUUUGAUUGUAAAGCACUUUAAGCGAGGAGGAGGCUACCUGGAUUAAUACUCUAGGAUAGUGGACGUUACUCGCAGAAUAAGCACCGGCUAACUCUGUGCCAGCAGCCGCCGUAAAAC